rnacentral:rRNA from 1 species
UACGUAGGGGGCUAGCGUUGUCCGGAUUUAUUGGGCGUAAAGAGCGUGUAGGCGGCCAGGUAGGUCUGGUGCGAAAACUCGAGGCUUAACCUCGAGAUGUCAUCGGAAACCAUCUGGCUAGAGUCCGGAAGAGGAGAGUGGAAUUCCUGGUGUAGCGGUGAAAUGCGCAGAUAUCAGGAAGAACACCAAUGGCGAAAGCAGCUCUCUGGGACGGUACUGACGCUGAGACGCGAAAGCGUGGGGAGCGAACAGG